GGAACCCAUUCCAUGCCCUCUCACUUUCUUUGUGAAGACGUACCUCCUACCUUCUUAACGAACCCCCUUCUCUCCAUAUCUGGAUGUGCAUUGCAACCCUGUGUGAGAAAGCAGCGCUGUGUGAGACGGAGGGAGCAGGUGUGGGAAUCAGAAAAAGACAACCCUACAAUAUGCAGUGCGAGCUGUAUCUGAGAGAAGAUGGUCAAAGAAGUCCCCUGGGUUGACACUGUCUAUACCUUUUAGGAUUUUGAAUGUUUGAAUCAGAUCGCCGCGUAGUCUUCUUUGUUCAAGACUGAAUAGAUUCAAUUCUUUUAGCCUGUCUGCAUAUCCAUAUGACAUUGUAACGUUGCUGAGUUCCAGCAUGAAUGGAGUCAGACAAGGUAGGCAUUUUAAAGGCUUGAGCCUGUAUUUAUUUAAACAACAAAAAUAAAUAUAUGCAAGCUAAGGGUACUGGGAGCAAAUACAAAAUAAAGUGGUGUUUCGAUGUCUCUUUCUUUUCGUUCUUCCUUUCCUUUUCCUCUUUACUCU